rnacentral:rRNA from 10 species
GCUUACGGCCAUACCACCUUGGGCACGCGCGAUCUUGUCUGAUCUCGGAAGCUAAGCAGGGUCGGGACUGGUUAGUACUUGGAUGGGUGACCGCCUGGGAAUACCAGGUGCUGUAAGCA